CCUUUCUCGCUUCAUCCGCGGUCCCUGUCUGUUUUCGUUAUGGCGCCUUGUACUUCUACCCAACGUUGCCCGCCCCCCAUCUUCCCAGCCCACCAGCUCCGUCCGCCUCUCCGGAUGAUUCGUGAGAUACCGAGCCUGCCGGGAAGGGACCGGAUUUUUCCGUCUGGUCCAAGGAAGCACGGGUUAUGGCCACAUGCGCAGUGAUAACUCAGGGCCCCACGCCUUUUGACCCCUGUUGAUGAAGAUUGUGAGGAGGGAGACCAGAAGAUAAUGGACAACGAUACAGCAGAAGGGUCUGGUAAGCUCCGUUUAGUUGCACUACCCGGGGAGACCUGAGGCAUGUUUCCAAGGGCUGUGGCUGCCUGUAGCCAUGGGAUCUCCAACUGCAUGCCAGAGUAAUGGAGAGACUUUGACAGCUCAGGUCAGCACAGUGCCUGCAGCUGCCACUCAUCUUUCCUAUAUAUGUAUAUCAGGCCUCAAGUUGAGCGCCCUCUACCUGUGAGGCUAUUGUUCUGUGGUAUUUACAACAAAUGUUUCUUCUGCAGGUUACACUUGAGCUUAUUUCUUGGAAGAGUCUGAGAAGACGGCCUGUCAGGCUCCUAACACUAAGGGCCAUGUAACCAGUGAAGCAGCCAUUAUAUAUGAUUUGGUCUACACUUGUUGGAAAAAUUCCACAAGAGGAUCUCCUGGAAGCUAGCAGAAGUUUUUGGCUUGUACAUUGCCAGGCAGCCAUUGGAAUCGGAGCUGCAGUCAGAUUAAGGCCAGCCUGGCCUACAUUGAGAAACCUCAUUUUGGGAAAGUGAAAUACUUUGUCAAUUAACAUGCAGUUGGUUCAAUAAAGACUUUUGGAAAGUGUC
rnacentral:lncRNA from 1 species